rnacentral:lncRNA from 1 species
GUGGGUAAGGCCGGAACCUUGGUGCCUUCAUUCUUUCUGUGCUUGCAUAACAAAAGUGGAAGUUUUUCUGGUAGCAUUCUUUAUCCUUAACAUUUCUAAACUUGUAAAACACAUUUUCUGCAGAGGUUAUGAAAGGCAAUAUUCUAUACAUUUUUUUGUGCAUUAUUACUUUUUACAAUUUUAAUAUCAACUCACUGUAGUAUGCAUGUUUGUAGUUUGGUUACAUAUAUGCUUUAUGAAUACUACACAUGUAUAAAUCUCAAGUAUUUUUAUUUGUUGAAAUAUAAAGUUAAUUACAAUAAGAUGAAAAACAACUUUGAAAGGAAAGAAUUCUGAAACACAAGACUGAAGUUGAAAACAGAUACAUUAAACAAUUAUGAGAAAUAUCAAGAAUCUUUCAAAAUUAUGAAUUUAUUCACACUUAACAAAUAUUAUUAUUUAAUAAUUUGCGAAUUAGAGACAUUUUCCUAAACCUGUUACUAUCAUCCAUCAAAUUGUCCAAAAAAUUAUAAAACUUCAUGAAGUUAAAGAAUCUUGGUUUUGACUGGCUCCCAGUUUAAUGGGAUUAAUUUUUUUUAAUUUUUAGAGUGUUCUACCCCAUAACACUUGUAUAGUGGAUAUGAUUAUAAUCUAAAGGAGGAAAAGGGAGGGGGUGUGUGUCAAAGUGACUACUUUCUAAAUACCAAAGCCUUAUCUAACAUGUUUAGGGGAUACUUACCAAUCUCUCCAUGACUAUGAGGUUGUGAGUUGAAGGAAAAAUAGAUUAAUGAAAAUGAUGACCACAGAAUAGCCUGUCUAAAAGCAUCAGCAUUUCUAAAAGUCUGAAUGAUGUCUUAGUAACAUAAUUUUUAUCUAAAACCUUCAAAGUUACGUGCUCAAAGACUUAAAGACAGAAAAUUAUGGAUUCUCCUAAUUAUUUUAAUAUAUAUACUCAAUAGCAAGUUUGAGGAAAGGUGACUAACGUGAUUGACACCACCUUAGAAAAAUCUUACCAGUAGUUUGACCAAAAUACUUAUUUUUCUGGGUCUCGUCAAGAUCUGUCAUGGAUGAUAAAAGAUAGAUUUGAUGUUACACCGGUGAUUUAGAUGUUUUUUUUUUGUUUUUUUUUUUUUUUUUAGUUUUUUUAAUUUAACUUUUUUGCAUUCCAGAUUUUAUAAUCCCCCUCCCCAUCCACCCUCUAACUGUUCCGAAUCCCAUACCCCCUCCCCACCCCCUUGUCUCC